rnacentral:lncRNA from 1 species
AAGUUGCAGCAAUAGAACAUACGUCUCAUAGUACAUUGCAUUGAGAAUGAGAGGAAUUAGGAAAUUACCUCCUGCGAGAUGCUGGUAUGUGGUCGAAGCAGCCUAUCAUUUUUCUACAUAAUGGAAGCAAUGCCCGGACACAUAAAUCAAGCCAUUCUUUUAGCAGCAUCGAAUGUGGUACAUGCUGAAGAGCUUAGCUG